rnacentral:rRNA from 1 species
AUUGAACGCUGGCGGCAGGCCUAACACAUGCAAGUCGAGCGGAUGAAGGGAGCUUGCUCCUGGAUUCAGCGGCGGACGGGUGAGUAAUGCCUAGGAAUCUGCCUGGUAGUGGGGUAUAACGUCCGGAAACGGGCGCUAAUACCGCAUACGUCCUGAGGGAGAAAGUGGGGGAUCUUCGGACCUCACGCUAUCAGAUGAGCCUAGGUCGGAUUAGCUAGUUGGUGGGGUAAAGGCCUACCAAGGCGACGAUCCGUAACUGGUCUGAGAGGAUGAUCAGUCACACUGGAACUGAGACACGGUCCAGACUCCUACGGGAGGCAGCAGUGGGGAAUAUUGGACAAUGGGCGAAAGCCUGAUCCAGCCAUGCCGCGUGUGUGAAGAAGGUCUUCGGAUUGUAAAGCACUUUAAGUGGGGAGGAAGGGCAGUAAGUUAAUACCUUGCUGUUUUGACGUUACCAACAGAAUAAGCACCGGCUAACUUCGUG